rfam:Picea glauca, whole genome shotgun sequence.
GGGCGUACAACUCAGUAGUAGAGCAUUUGACCGCAGAUCAAGAGGUCACCGGUUAGAACCCAGUUGGGCCCU